rnacentral:tRNA from 6 species
GCCAACAUGGCUCAGUCGGUAGAGCAGCGGUUUCGUAAACCGCAGGUCGAGGGUUCGAGUCCCUCUGUUGGCU